rnacentral:rRNA from 1 species
CCAUACCAAACUGUUGCCUCGGCGGGGUCACGCCCCGGGUGCGUCGCAGCCCCGGAACCAGGCGCCCGCCGGAGGGACCAACCAAACUCUUUCUGUAGUCCCCUCGCGGACGUUAUUUCUUACAGCUCUGAGCAAAAAUUCAAAAUGAAUCAAAACUUUCAACAACGGAUCUCUUGGUUCUGGCAUCGAUGAAGAACGCAGCGAAAUGCGAUAAGUAAUGUGAAUUGCAGAAUUCAGUGAAUCAUCGAAUCUUUGAACGCACAUUGCGCCCGCCAGUAUUCUGGCGGGCAUGCCUGUCCGAGCGUCAUUUCAACCCUCGAACCCCUCCGGGGGUCCGGCGUUGGGGAUCGGGAACCCCUAAGACGGGAUCCCGGCCCCGAAAUACAGUGGCGGUCUCGCCGCAGCCUCUCAUGCGCAGUAGUUUGCACAACUCGCACCGGGAGCGCGGCGCGUCCACGUCCGUAAAACACCCAACUUCUGAAAUGUUGACCUCGGAUCAGGUAGGAAUACCCGCUGAACUUAAGCAUAUCA